GGUCAAGUGAAGAAGCGCAUACGGUGGAUGCCUUGGCAGUCAGAGGCGAUGAAAGACGUGGUAGCCUGCGAAAAGCUUUGGGGAGUCGGCAAACAGACUGUGAUCCAGAGAUCUCUGAAUGGGGGAACCCAGCCAGCACAAGCUGGUUAUCUUGUACUGAAUACAUAGGUGCAAGAGGCGAACCAGGGGAACUGAAACAUCUAAGUACCCUGAGGAAAAGAAAUCAACCGAGAUUCCCUUAGUAGUGGCGAGCGAACGGGGACCAGCCCUUAAGUUGAUUUGAGAUUAGUGGAACGCUCUGGAAAGUGCGGCCAUAGUGGGUGAUAGCCCCGUACACGAAAAUCUCUUGUCAAUGAAAUCGAGUAGGACGGAGCACGAGAAACUUUGUCUGAAUAUGGGGGGACCAUCCUCCAAGGCUAAAUACUACUGACUGACCGAUAGUGAACCAGUACCGUGAGGGAAAGGCGAAAAGAACCCCGGAGAGGGGAGUGAAAUAGAACCUGAAACCGUAUGCGUACAAGCAGUGGGAGCCUACUUUGUUAGGUGACUGCGUACCUUUUGUAUAAUGGGUCAGCGACUUAUAUUCAGUGGCAAGCUUAACCGAAUAGGGGAGGCGUAGCGAAAGCGAGUCUUAAUAGGGCGUUUAGUCGCUGGGUAUAGACCCGAAACCGGGCGAUCUAUCCAUGGGCAGGUUGAAGGUUAGGUAACACUGACUGGAGGACCGAACCGACUACCGUUGAAAAGUUAGCGGAUGACCUGUGGAUCGGAGUGAAAGGCUAAUCAAGCUCGGAGAUAGCUGGUUCUCCUCGAAAGCUAUUUAGGUAGCGCCUCAUGUAUCACUGUAGGGGGUAGAGCACUGUUUCGGCUAGGGGGUCAUCCCGACUUACCAAACCGAUGCAAACUCCGAAUACCUACAAGUGCCGAGCAUGGGAGACACACGGCGGGUGCUAACGUCCGUCGUGAAAAGGGAAACAACCCAGACCGUCAGCUAAGGUCCCAAAGUCAUGGUUAAGUGGGAAACGAUGUGGGAAGGCUUAGACAGCUAGGAGGUUGGCUUAGAAGCAGCCACCCUUUAAAGAAAGCGUAAUAGCUCACUAGUCGAGUCGGCCUGCGCGGAAGAUGUAACGGGGCUCAAACCAUGCACCGAAGCUACGGGUAUCAUCGUAUGAUGAUGCGGUAGAGGAGCGUUCUGUAAGCCUGUGAAGGUGAGUUGAGAAGCUUGCUGGAGGUAUCAGAAGUGCGAAUGCUGACAUGAGUAACGACAAUGCGAGUGAAAAACUCGCACGCCGAAAGACCAAGGUUUCCUGCGCAACGUUAAUCGACGCAGGGUUAGUCGGUCCCUAAGGCGAGGCUGAAAAGCGUAGUCGAUGGAAAACAGGUUAAUAUUCCUGUACUUCCAGUUAUUGCGAUGGAGGGACGGAGAAGGUUAGGCCAGCCUGGCGUUGGUUGUCCAGGUUUAAGGUGGUAGGCUGAAAUCUUAGGCAAAUCCGGGAUUUCAAGGCCGAGAGCUGAUGACGAGUUGCCUU
rnacentral:rRNA from 1 species